ACUCAAAUGAAUUGACGGGGGCCCGCACAAGCGGUGGAGCAUGUGGUUUAAUUCGACGCAACGCGAAGAACCUUACCUGGGCUUGAACUACCGGGAGUAAAAUUCUGGAAACAGAAGAUGACUCGUAAAAUCGAGAUCCGGCAGAGGUGCUGCAUGGUUGUCGUCAGCUCGUGUCGUGAGAUGUUGGGUUAAGUCCCGCAACGAGCGCAACCCCUAUUCCAUGUUGCCAAGUGGUCGCAAGACCACCGCACUCUUGGGAAACUGCCUCGGAUAACGGGGAGGAAGGUGGGGAUGACGUCAAAUCCUCAUGGCCUUUAUGUCCAGGGCCACACACGUGCUACAAUGGCCGGUACAGCGGGAUGCAAAUCCGCAAGGAGGAGCCAAUCCCUUAAAGCCGGCCCCAGUUCAGAUUGUGGGCUGCAACUCGCCCACAUGAAGGCGGAAUCGCUAGUAAUCGCAGAUCAGCAGGCUGCGGUGAAUACGUUCCCGGGCCUUGCACACACCGCCCGU
rnacentral:rRNA from 1 species